rnacentral:lncRNA from 1 species
GAGCCGCCAUGAAUAACUGGGUUUUGUUUAGAUCAAGUUUAGCAUUCGCUACUUGCUUGUAGGCGCGCGUGCAGGAUCAGCCGCCCGUCUCCUUGUCUUCGGAACCCCAUUGUUGAUUCAGAUUCAGUUUGAAACCUUCAAUUCAUCUUGCAAAUUCAGUGCUUGUUUCCUUGUUCUUGCUAGUUCUUCGAUUGCUUGCAGGACGGGAGCCCUAGGGGCUGGUUGUCGCGCUCCACAAGAUCGUGACGGCUGUUGGACGUGGUGUAUCUGUUGCUAAGGCGCGGUCUUGAGGGCUGUAGUCGGGCCGUGAACGUCAUCUCCAUCCAAUAAUCGAGUUAUCCAGCGCCUCUCAUCGAAAGAUCAGGCCAAAAACCCUAGCAGGUUCGCAUCAGUUGGUAAUCAGAGCAAGGUUCUUCGGUGAGAGACUUCUAAUCCUUUGCUGUUUUUAAUUAAUUUCCUAUAGUCCAGAAAAGCCAAAAAAUAUAGUAGAUUAGUUUUCCCAUAAUCCUAUUAAACCUUUGUGCCUUGGCUAGUACCGUUUUAGUUAGGGCUUGUUGAAUUUGCGUUGCUUCGGUUUGUGUCGAGUUGCUGGUCUUAGUGUCAAGUCCUAUAGAGUUUCGAGUUCUUGUCACCAUCUAUACACAGCCGAGUAUUACCAUAUCUUCUCUCUGUCGAAUCUGUUGUGAAGUCCAAAUUGAACUGUGAUCCAAAAAGAAAGAUAACUCCAUACUUGUUCGACCUUAC